rnacentral:lncRNA from 1 species
CACCGAACCGCGGGAGCACCACCGCCCUGCAAUUGGUGACGACGCAACGAAUCGAACCUAGCCUCAACUGCUGGCAAAGCGAAUAAACGCCAUUCCAGUAAUUGCUACGACUAUUAUAAGACGCUAAUUUGAAGACUCGCAUUUCUUUCGACGAUUUCUGAUUUUUUUUAAAAAAAAAAUUUACUGAUCUCAGUUCUUAUGUUUUCACCUUUGUUUCUUUUUCUUGGAGCUUUGUGUGAUUUUGAAUCCACCUGGUUUUCUCAGGGAGUGAGGGUUUUCAGUUUUUGAUUGCAGCGUUGGGCGAGCGAGAGAAGAAGACGACGUGUCCCUGUUCGCAUCCGCAGUUCGGCUGUAAUAUUUAC